CUGACACUGAAGGUGUUUAUAGCACGGGGAAGGAGAGGGGUGGAUUUAGCAAAUUGUUUUCCGAGUUCACAUCCAUCUUUCUGAACUGACCCGUCGGUAAACAUUACACCUUUAUUCACAUCAAGAUGCUCCUACAGCGGAAACCAUGCAUGUUUCGUGGACGUGUAACGCCAUCAGUGUCGACAUUGGUCAUUACUUGCAGCAUACUGAGCCACACACAAAUUACAACACACGAGAUCUAUCAUCAGUGCACAAACUUCUCCUCUUGGUGCUGUCUUUGGUAGGGAAUGCGUCUUUAUGUGACGUCCAUGUUGUUGAUGGCAGAACCCCGCUGAAAAAUCAACAGUACCUGAGCACGUCCGCGAGUCACGUGAUGCUCUCGGCAAGAUGAUCAUUGGUUGUUAGUGGCGAUGCUUUCCGUACCAGUGAAAUGUUCGUUUAUCGACUACCAAUACGAACGCGUUGGAGAGCAGAUAACACAAGGCUAACAUACAAUCAUUGUUCUAAUUGUUAAUAUCUGGACAGGUAACUUAAGUUAGUACGGAGGUGUCGGCUGGAGUGAAAAGCAUCAUAGCGAGUAGUCACAUUAGACAACAGUAAACAGUAUAUGACCCAGGGAUCACGCCACAGAGAUCGCUCCUGGAUACCCCGCGCUUACCGUUAGUGAGGAGGCGAAUUUACCUGUGUCAUUACAAGCCUCCGUUGAAUGGGAAUAGAGUCAGGGACGGGAAGAUGUUCGGAAUGGGUGUUAAAAUAUUACAUACUGUUGGCAGAAACCCUGCAUUAUAGAAAUAGACGGGAGAAUGUGCCCACAAAAGUAAUAGGAAACUGAUGUGGCAGUUCGUGGUAUAUCAAACUGACCCUUUCUUUUGAACAAUGGCAUCGGUUCCAGAGUCAAACAAGAUUUCACUGACCGUGGAGAUAACUUUGCCAAUCUUUUAUCUUUUAUGUUUCAUUUUUCUGGGAUUCCUGGUGGUGUGCAAGAACCAUGUUUGUGACUUUCUGAAGAACUUUUCAUCAUUUGGCUUGUUAAGGGCCGGAAACGCCAUUCCUGGAGCGGACGAUGAAUAUGAUGAGGAAAAUGCCACGACAGAAGUGUAAGCAUGACGGCUGGGCGGAUCUGGGUUGAUGAGGGAGUCUGUGGCAACUCUCUGUACGCCAGAAGUGAGAACCAUGAUCUCUUUCUACAAUGCUUACCAACCAGCAAACUGACUUCCAACACUUACAUUUCUCUCAGAACUGCUACACAUGACGUGAUAUCAGUUGCUGUCGCUAUGUGUUUGUGUUCAGAACAUGUAUAAGAGGAUUGUUAUUCUUAUUGCAAUAUGAGGCUAUUGGUAAUAAAGCAAGGUUUCCAGCAACUGACGACAGUUCGUCAAACACUGCCUUCUGUGUAUAUGAGUUCAAGCACCCAGUCAAGCAAUCCAUGGCAGAUGAGUCCAGUCAAGCAACCUUCUGUAUAUAUGAAUGAAGCCAGUCAAGCAACCUUCUGUAUACAUGAGUCCAGUCAAGCAACUUUCUGUAAAUAUGAGUCAAAGCAACCAGUCAAGCAACUUUCUGCUUGUGAGCGAAGUCAAGCAGCCUUCUGUAUAGAUGAGUCCAAUCAACCAGUCUUCUGUAUAGAUGAGUCCAAUCAGGGAGACUCUAUGUUGUAGAGUAUCCCUGGUCCAAUCAAUCAGUCAAGCAACCUUCUAUAUACAUGAGUACAGUCAACUAGUCAAGCAACCUUCUAUAUACAUGAGUACAGUCAAAUAGUCAAGCAACCUUCCGCAUAAAUGAGUGCAGUCAACUAGUCAAGCAACCUUCUGUAUAUAUGAGCCUCCUUUACCCUUGAGCUCAGAAAGGAGAGUUCAAAGACAAGGAGAAAAUUCCUUGUAAGAAAUGUUUUUAGAGAAGGUAAAGAAACAUCAAUUGAUGGAUGAGGUGCAGCGACUUGGGAUACUCCGUACCCCAAUAUAUAAAAAUUGCUAAAUCUUCUUCAGGAUUAAUUUUAACCAGUUUAUGCCAAAGAAUAGAUAGUAACAUAAUAUUUUCGCUUUGAAAAUAUGCAGUCGCCGUUUAACAUCUAUUGCUGAUCUGUUGGUGUGGGGAGAGUUUAUUUACUUGAAAUAGCAGUUUGUAGAAGCGGCUCCAGCAACUGCCCGAGUGUGAGGACGUCAAAGACAACCUUCGGAAUUAGUAGUGAACUAUGAAAUGUGUUCUCGAAUAUAUAUUCUAAAAUUAAGUAAGUUCACGAAUCAAAUACAAUUAAAAGUUUAAAAAAAGAUAUCACUAUGACAGUACAACACUGUAUGGCAGUACUGAUUCAGAGGCGGUUUAAUUCCAGAUCAGGGAUGGAAACAAUAAAGACAGUAAUGGGAAUAUAUUUACCUCUCAGUAGCAGCAGUCCUACUUGUAACUAUAUACCUAGCUAGGACGGGUAUAUCAUCAACACUUACAGUGAUACACGUCUCUUAACUGAUAUAAUGUGAGAUGAGGGGGCACUAUAUAUAUAUUCUUCCCUUAUAUACGCAUAAACAAGUUGCAAGAAAAGUCUACAAUAUCAUGUGGGAAACAACACGCUGGAACAUUUUAUCAGAUUUUAUCUUUAUAUAUCAUGUUAAAUACACCAAUGAUUUUUUUUUCACACACUAAAAAUGUAUGCUCAAUGUCUGUUGUAAUAUGAAUAGAAUUAAAACAUUGAGAAACUCG